CUGCUGCACCUGCCCAGCGUUAUGAACAGAACUUUAUUUUUUCCAACCUAAACCAAUCAUCCUGCAUUGGGAUGGAUGGAUUGAGGGAAAGAUCAUGGUACCAGAUCUGCAGGCAGCUGGGGACAGAAGUCUUCACUUGCAUGGGUGGUGAGAGCAGAACUGAGAAGGUGGGGUCAACUUUAAAGAUGGGCAUUUCCAAGGACACGGAGUAUUGAGCAUUGAGUCCACUGGGAGGACACCAAACGCCAGGCUCCAGAGAUCCAAAUUUGUAGAAUCGCAUGAAUCCCAAGAAAUCACAAGAGAUCUUAGAAGAAAAGGAUCCUUCAAGUGUGGUGAGUGCAGUAAGGGAUCUAGUAGGAAGUCACAUCUUGCUGUUUGCAGAGUAAAGACGUGUGAAGAAGCCCUGAAGAACAGCCACAAGUUCUCCCACAGCCGUGCACUGCUCCAGGGAAAACCCACACCUGCAGUGAGCGCAGGAACAUCACUGUGUGACGACGUGGCCGUCCGCUGCAGAGAAGGCCCAGGAGUGUGUGGAAAGCCUCCACAGAUGUAGCCCACAUGGAAGAGCCUAGCAGAUGAUGAGGCCCUUUCCUCCCACCACAGAGCACGUGUGAGAAUGGAGCGCAGGCACCUUCUCUCAGAAGGCCAUUGUUGUUGAUCAGGCGGUCCACUCUGGAGACUUUGGAAGCUGUCUAGGAUGUAAAGAAUGCAGGAAUGAUUUCAGAGAGGGAUCACACCUCACUGCACGCCAGAGAGUUCAGGCUCCAAUGAGCCAUAUAUGUGCAGGAGGUGUGGAAGAGCUUUUGUGUGUGUUAUACUGCAGAACUGGAGGGACGCCAUCAGUGUACCUGAGUGGCAAAGCCUUUAGGGAGAGCUCCCAAGUCCUGGCUCAUCAGUGCAUUCACACAAGGGGAAAAGCCUUUUACAGGUGGGGAGGCCUUCAGGGAUCAGCCUCACGUCAUUGUCAGAGUUUUCAUUUUGGGAAGAAGCCUUUACAUUUUUAUUUUUUGAGACAGUGUAACUCUGUCGACCAGGCUG